rnacentral:rRNA from 1 species
AACGAACGCUGGCGGCAUGCCUAACACAUGCAAGUCGAACGAGACCUUCGGGUCUAGUGGCGCACGGGUGCGUAACGCGUGGGAACCUGCCCUUAGGUUCGGAAUAACUCCCCGAAAGGGGUGCUAAUACCGGAUAAUGUCUUCGGACCAAAGAUUUAUCGCCUUUGGAUGGGCCCGCUGUGGAUUAGCUAGUUGGUAGGUUAAAAGCCUACCAAGGGGACGUUCCAUAGCUGGUCUGGGAGGAUGAUCAGCCACACUUGGACUGAGACACGGCCCAGACUCCUACGGGAGGAAGCAGGGGGGAAUAAUGGACAAUGGGCGAAAGACUGAGCCAGCAAGGCCGCGUGAGUGAUGAAGGCCUGAGGGUUGUAAAGCUCUUUUACCAGGGAUGAUAAUGAUAGUACCGGGAGAAUAAGCGCCGGCUAACUCCGUG